UACGAAGGGGGCUAGCGUUGUUCGGACUUACUGGGCGUAAAGGGCGCGUAGGCGGCCUGACAAGUCAGAGGUGAAAGUCCUGGGCUCAACCUGGGGACUGCCUUUGAAACUGUUGGGCUUGAGACCGGGAGAGGUGAGUGGAAUUCCCAGUGUAGAGGUGAAAUUCGUAGAUAUUGGGAAGAACACCAGUGGCGAAGGCGGCUCACUGGACCGGUUCUGACGCUGAGGCGCGAAAGCGUGGGGAGCAAACAGG
rnacentral:rRNA from 1 species